UUUCCGUAGGUGAACCUGCGGAAGGAUCAUUAUUGUAUAACCGAGGUGCGAGUGCUGUCGCUGACCCGAAAGGUCGUGCACGCCCGAGUGCCCUCACACACAUCCAUCUCACCCCUAUGUGCACCACCGCGUGGGUCCCCCUUUGGCUUGUUCGGAGGGGGGCUUACGUUUUCACACAAACUUUGUAUGCAGUGUAGAAUGUAUUUUUUGUUUUUGCGAUCACGCAAUCAAUACAACUUUCAACAACGGAUCUCUUGGCUCUC
rnacentral:misc_RNA from 1 species